rnacentral:tRNA from 1 species
GCUGAUAUGGCUCAGUUGGUAGAGCGCACCCUUGGUAAGGGUGAGGUCCCCAGUUCGACUCUGGGAAUCAGAA